rnacentral:misc_RNA from 1 species
CUCGCUCUCUCUCUCUCUCUCCCUCUACCUCUCUCGAUCUAAUCUUCGCUUUUCACUUCCCUACAAAGACAAUCCUCUCUCUUUCCAUUUUAGGGAGCUGCGAUCCUCGGCUUCCAUGGCUACCGUACUCCAUUUCCUUUCCAUUCCUUCCUUUCCUUCUUUCCCCAAAUCUACAGUCUCUCCUUCCCUCACUGCUUCUGCUUCUCCGAUUUCAUCUAUCAGCCAGAGACCCGCCGUGAGGUUACCGGAGGCCAGUGGUCUCAAGAUUCGCUCCUUUGGAUCGGUCACUCAGACUCCCAUUCGUUCUAGACUUGCUCGUGGGAGGAUCGUGUGCGAGACACAGGAAACUGCUGUUGGAGUGCUUGCUGUUAAUGAGAAAACAUGGAAGAAUCUUGUUCUUGGAUCUGAAUCGCCUGUCCUUGUAGAAUUCUGGGCUCCAUGGUGUGGUCCUUGCCGUAUGAUCCACCCUGUAAUCGAUGAACUUUCUAGGGAAUAUACUGGAAAGCUUAAAUGCUACAAGCUUAAUACUGAUGACAGUCCUGCAAUCGCAACCCAAUAUGGAAUUAGAAGCAUCCCAACUGUUAUGAUAUUCAAGAAUGGUGAGAAGAAAGAUGCUAUUAUUGGUGCAGUUCCCAAAAGAACUU